UUAAAAGUCGAUUAAUAUUGCUGUUUUUAUUAAAUAAAUAUUCUAUGUUGGCUCUAAACAGGCAACUUUCUUUCUUGGAAGCAUCACUGGAAGAAGCACUUUACUUUCAUCUUUUAUAUCUUUAUUUACUUUUAUUAUGUUAUUAUUGGCGGAGGCGCGUAAGGCGCGUGUCCGUAUACCGAAUGCUUUGAUCACGUGAUUAUUCAAACCAGGAGACGCGCAAUCUGGAUUAACCGCUGUUCUCCUCAGACGAGUGUUUCGGUGGUAUUAUGAGAUCCCUUUCUUGGUGUGUCUUGAUGUUUUAUAUUGGCUAAAGACAAGAUAUGUCUGCAAAUGCUGGUUCCAUGUCACAUUGCUUAUUCGAGACUAGAUCUACAAAAAACACUGCAGGUUUUGUUACCAUCAACUUGCAUUAUACAACUGACAGACUGAAACGGUUGGACUCAAAAAUCUACAUUUGUGUUCCACUGGAGAAACAAAGUCACCUACAUCUUGGAUGGCCUGGGGACUACCUGACCUGUUCCUGUUAAGAGCUAGUCACUUUUUGUGGAAUGUUCCUGGCCCAUUUUUCCCAAGUUUUUACAAAAGUUUUUUCAAUGACCUCAAAAUUGAUGUGUAAAAAUUAUAAUAAACUUGAAUUUGUUUAAAUAU